GUGCCAGCAGCCGCGGUAACACGUAUGGGGCAAGCGUUGUUCGGAAUUAUUGGGCGUAAAGGGUAUGUAGGCGGUUUUGUAAGCCUGGUGUGAAAUCCUGCAGCUUAACUGUAGAAUUGCAUCGGGUACUGCAAGACUUGAAUCACAGAGGGGAAACUAGAAUUCCAGGUGUAGGGGUGGAAUCUGUUGAUAUCUGGAAGAAUACCGGUGGCGAAGGCGGGUUUCUAGCUGAUGAUUGAUGCUGAGGUGCGAAAGAGCGGGGAGCAAACAGGAUUAGAUACCCUGGUAGUCCGCACAGUAAACGAUGUACACUAGGUGUGGGGGCAUGAGUCUCGGUGCCGAAGCUAACGUGAUAAGUGUACCGCCUGGGAAGUAUGCUCGCAAGGGUGAAACUCAAAUGAAUUGACGGG
rnacentral:rRNA from 1 species